rnacentral:rRNA from 1 species
GAUUAUGGCUCAGGAUGAACGCUGGCGGCGUGCUUAACACAUGCAAGUCGAACGGAGUUUUUAAACGGAAGUCCUCGGAUGGAAGUUUAGAAACUUAGUGGCGGACGGGUGAGUAACGCGUGGGUAACCUGCCUCAUACAGGGGGAUAACAGUCGGAAACGAUUGCUAAAACCGCAUAACAUAGCGAAACCGCAUGAUUUUGCUAUCAAAUAUUUAUAGGUAUGAGAUGGGCCCGCGUCUGAUUAGCUAGUUGGUGGGUAAUGGCCUACCAAGGCGACGAUCAGUAGCCGGCUUGAGAGAGUGACCGGCCACAUUGGGACUGAGACACGGCCCAAACUCCUACGGGAGGCAGCAGUGGGGAAUAUUGGACAAUGGGGGAAACCCUGAUCCAGCCGACGCCGCGUGAGUGAAGAAGUAUUUCGGUAUGUAAAGCUCUAUCAGCAGGGAAGAUAAUGACAGUACCUGACUAAGAAGCCCCGGCUAACUACGUGCCAGCCGCGGC